AUUGAACGCUGGCGGCAGGCCUAACACAUGCAAGUCGAACGAGUGGCGGACGGGUGAGUAAUGUCUGGGAAACUGCCCGAUGGAAGGGGAUAACUACUGGAAACGGUAGCUAAUACCGCAUACCAUCGGAUGUGCCAAGAUGGGAUGAGCUAGUAGGUGGGGUAACGUCUAACCUAGUCGACGAUCCCUAGCUGGUCUGAGAGGAUGACCAGCCAACCUGUAACUGAGACCCGGUCCAGACUCCUACGGGAGGCAGCAGUGGGGAAUAUUGCACAAUGGGCGCAAGCCUGAUGCAGCCAUGCCGCGUGUAUGAAGAAGGCCUUCGGGUUGUAAAGUACUUUCAGCGAGGAGGCGUUACUCGCAGAAGAAGCACCGGCUAACUCCGUGCCAGCCGCCGCGGUAAUUC
rnacentral:rRNA from 1 species